rnacentral:rRNA from 1 species
GACAGAGGGGGCAAGCGUUGUCCGGAGUUACUGGGCGUAAAGCGCACGCAGGCGGCACGGCAAGUGUGGUGUGAAACCCGCCGGCUUAACCGGUGGACGCCAUCGCAGACUGCCGCGCUCGAGCCGUUCAGAGGUCCCUCGAAUUGCCGGUGUAGUGGUGAAAUGCGUAGAUAUCGGGAGGAACACCAGUGGCGAAGGCGGACGACCUGGCUGUCUUGACGCUGCGUGAGGCGAACUGAAGGGAGCCAAGCUGGGGGAAG